AUUUAGUAACGUCGUCGGCUUCAAUAAAAUCAGUCCCAUCAUUUUUCGGUUCGAUCACGUAUUUAACUGAACUCUCGAGGGAUAGGUAGGAGAGCCGCGUGCGGAAUGUAUUCCGCGUUGCAUCGUUCUCUACAGAGAAGGGUGUGCUUGCUGCUGGAUGUGCACACGGAAGGAGAAGAAGAGAAAAACAGGCCGACGGUGGUGUGGCAGCUGAGUGUACACAGGGCCCUACUACGAGCUUUCCUUUUCUCUUUCGCUCUUCGAAUUGUACAGGAGGAGGAUGAUGACGACGAUGAUGAUGAUGGGGUAGUGGGUAUCGGGCGUGCAUCGGGACCUAUGCAAACACGAGGUAUUCUUCGUCGAGCCGUGUAUUUCCGAGACUAUCCAGCCGAGAGUGAUGGGUCCGUAGUUCGAUUUAAUGGAAGAAUAUGCUAGAGGAUCGGGGCAUGGAAUCAUACGACAGGAUGAAGAGUCGGUCUUUGCCAGUGGCUGCUGCUGCUGCUGCUACUGCUACUGCUACUACURCUACUGCUACUGUGGGUGGAAAAAGCAGGUUCGAGGAGCACAGGGAGAAGGCGGUGGCUCUCCGAGGAGUAAAGGGGGACGAGGAGCUAUAGCUUAUAUUCUGAGGAUUUGGGACCACCAGGAAAGAAGAAUUAUCUAGAAUAGUUCUAGAUAAGUUAGAUAUAGCUAAACAUGAGAUCUCAAAAGAUUCCCGUCCCUUAAAUACUUGCACGCAGCGUGCCGUAAUACAUGUUUGAGUGUGGUGUGUGUGUAUGUGUGCGGAGUGUGUGUAGGUGUCUAGAGGAGAGAAAAUUAUGAGCCAAUAAAGGUUUCACGAGGUCGACCGAGAGAAGAUAGAGCACGCUUUGCGCCGGUACCGUCGGACCGUCGGAACCGUCGACACAAUCUACGACUUCUUGCUACUAUAACGACGCGAACGUGGAAUAACCAUGGAAUAACCAUGGAAUAACCGUGGAAUAACCGUGUAUUUCUCUUUUUCCUAAAUAUUCGAUUCCAACCGAAGUAGUCCGUGAGUAUCGAUCACCACGUUUGAAAAUAAAAAUAAUCAAACCAACUGUCUCGCCCGAUGAUUAUUGCGAUAAACUACAAGUAGUCCUUUGAGUAGAAAUAGUCCUUUUGGUAGUCCAAUUAAGUGAUCAUUAAUUAUUAUUACAUGGAAGAUCGUCGAGUUAUUUACACGUGUGCCGAUGUCCUCGAUGUUGUAGUACUCUUUCCGUUCACGUGACCACCAGGUUCAGGGAAAAGAGGGUCAAACGAGUAAGCUCACCCUCAUUAAGCACCGUAUAUCAGGACAAAGUCGCGUGGCAAUGACGUGUAAUUAUUACGCGUCAGGUAUUACUUGCAUAUUACCAACAUAAAAUAACGUUCGGUGAACCUAUUAAAUACAGCAGAAAUGUACGUAAGGUAAGUUUAAAGAUAGAUCGGUGGCAAUUUUAUUACACGUAUGUAGGAAGGUGUGACACGUUGGAAGGACGUAACGAUUCAUUGCUUGAAUGUUCCCACGAAUGAAUAAAAUGAACGAUCAUAUUUGUUGAAUAAAAUGAACAAGUUUUACAAGUAUCCAACUACCUAUUCUAUUACUUUUUUCUUGACUUUUUACAAAUGUACAAAACCCAAUCGAAUUCGUACUUUGAUUGUAAAUCGAUGAUCAAUUAGAAAGUUAAUGUACCUAGAUAUUAACCGUUCGCACGACGAAUACGUUUGGAAGAGUGAUAAUUAUUUGAAACACUUUUAUUAAGCGAAAUCAAGUGAAAGAGAGAGAGAAAGAGAGAGAGAGAGGACACGUUUAAACUGGAAAACGUGGAAGCAGAAAGUGUGCAAAGAAAGUUCCCUCGCUGGAUGUCGAUUUAAAUCGACACACGGAUAUCUAUAGGAGUUUAACGAACAACUAGGUAUAUUUGCCAGACAUAAACGAAAUGGCAAUCGUUAAUUAUUAUUACAUGGAAGAUCGGCGACGUCGUCGUCGGGGUACCAUGGCGUUGCGGCCAGAUAUCUAUGCUACACUACUACUCUGUAAUAAUAGGCACUCGCUCAAAUAUUUCCUCGGUUAAAUAUUUGAUCUCGUUUUUAUUCCAUUUAUUAAAAGCCACGAGCGAAAGGCGCGGGGUCGUUGGGUGGUGGUGGUGGUGGUGCUGCUGCUGCUACUGCUACUACUGCCUGCUGCUGCUAAAAAGAGGGUGUGUGUGUGUGUGUGUGUGUUAGAGAGAGGAACACGGUCCGUACGCUCGCGAAAUCCACAUCUACGAUGAUUUAACGAGCCUGCAAAUAGAAAGACGACGACGACGACGAC